UUUAAUUUUAUUUUAUGUGCAUUGGUGUUUUGCCUACAUGUAUGUCAAUGUGAGGGUAUUGGAUCCUCCUGGAAAUGGAGGUAGAGACAGUUGUGAGCUACCAUGGGGGUGCUGGGAAUUGGGAAGAGUGCUCAACUGCUAAGCCAUCUCUCCAGCCACUGGAAAUUCUUUUUUUUUUUUUUUUUAGAUUGACAAAAUAGACACAAAUAAGUUUUUUUGUUUUGUUUGGUCUUUAAAGGCAGUGUUACUCUGUAGCCAGGCUAGACUAAAAUUUACUAUGUAGCUACUAUUUCACUCAGGUUAGCUUUGAACUCACAGCAAUCUUCCUGCCUCAGUCUUUCCAUUACUGGAUCACACGCAUGAGCUUCCAAGUCCAGUGUACAAUUAAUUUAAAAAAAAGAAUGUUCUUCAGUAUUUUCUUUGAUCUUAUUCUUGGGUUUAUUCAUCCAAACUCUCUGAAUUAUUUAAAGAAAUAAUCCAUCCUCUUAUGCAAAUUUGGCCCCAACUACCCACCACCAGGAAUCAAUACUGACAGUAUCAGUGGUUUAUAGCCACAAGCUGGGAGACUAACAUGAAAUUGUUCUGUGUAAGCAAUUCUGAUUAAAGUGCAUGUCACCUUCUGGAAGGGGAGACAAUAUACCCUCAGAGAAUGCCAGAACUUCCUUCACACAACUGGAAAUACACUCUUACUCACACCCACACAGCUUAUGAAAAGAUUGAGGUUUUUUUUUCCUUAAAAAAAAAUUCUAAGUUUCUUAAAGCAGAAUCUAUUAUCUGCACAAAGGCAAUCACUCAAUUUAAUUAGUUUAAGUACCACAACAUUCUCAGUGAAUCAGCAGCAGGCAUAUUUUGCGCGAGUCAGAUGCAUUUGGGCAACUGCAGGCAAAUGAGGUCAGAACCAGCACAAGGUGUCCCGGUGCAAUCAGAGAACCCAGCAAACCGAGCCCACAAAGAAGCGGGUCAACAGCACAGCAACGUGGGACAGCAUACAGGACUUUCCUCAGUUACCUCACAAGCAGCUUAGCUAGUUUCAGUAAAUAAUAGCUAUUUUGUCCCUGGGAAAAUGUCCCUUCCAUGCCUUAGCUAGCGACCCUGGUUGUACUUUCGUCAUAUUUCUAUCACCUGCACGAACAUGAAUAACUCAGCAGGGCUAGCUUGAUGACUAUGAAGAUAUCACAAAAUGUUGUCUUUAAAAGGGAAUCGAGACCAAGCAAGAGACAAAGCAGAAUUGGAGCGAACCUUCUUCUUGUGGAAAGAAAUUUCUUAACAAGAAUGAAGUUCAGACCAGCUACAGACCCUGGAAAGCGUCAAAAGAGUCAAAGAGGAAUCCAGGAAGGGAGAUGCCUGAACUGUGUUUAUAAAUCUACCCAAGUCACUGUCCUGCACAGGAAGAAAGCCAACUAGCAUCUCUCCCCUAAAGACCAAAAGAAUGGAUGGGCAUCUGAACUGUGGCCGGAGAGAGUUCACCUAGGCAAUGUUCAUUUCUCACCUUUAAAAACAAACAAACAACAAACAAACAAUCUUUGGAGAAACAGAACCUAGGCUUUUAACUACAUAACAUUCAACAGCACCCAGGAUGUGAGCACAAUUGCUCCACCUGUGAGAACCCAGAAAAUGUGGCAAUUUUCAAGAGACAAGACCAGUA